UCCUGGAGUUUUACUUGCUUCCAAAAAGGGAAGGCAAGUUUUCUGCUUCUGUGACAAUAAAGUGCAGGCAACUUCUUCCUGGAAUUUCAGCUCACUUUCAACAAAGAAGGAUUGCAGUAGAAACCAGUCGAGACGAAAGAUGCCAGAGUUCUUGGAAAAAUGAAGAGAAGAUUUGGACAUGACAUACACAGGGGGAAGCCCACAGGAAGAUGGCUGUCUGCAAUUCAGAAGAGCAGCCUCAGAGGAAACCAACCUGCCAACAUCUUUAUCUGUGACUUUCAGCCUCCAAAACUGUGAGAAAAUUAAUUUCUGUUGUUUAAGCAUCCAGAAUGUGAGACUUUGUUAUAGCAGCCCUAGCAAAUUAAUACAGGCAGCAAACAACCAGAUGUCCCACUUGAAAACUUCAUCCAAGAAAUAGAAAAAUAAAUGUUGUGGGAAUGAUGUUUGAUGGCAGGGUUUUAUUCUGCAGUUGCCUACAGGAAUGACAACAGAAAACUGUAAGACAGUGUAUUUCAAAGUGAGUUCUGCAGAAAACCAGUA